AUUGAACGCUGGCGGCAGGCUUAACACAUGCAAGUCGAGCGGAGACUUCGGUCUUAGCGGCGAACGGGUGAGUAAUACCUAGGAAUCUGCCUAUUAGUGGGGGAUAACGAAUCGAAAGGUUCGCUAAUACCGCAUACGUCCUACGGGAGAAAGGGGGGGAUCUUCGGACCUCUCGCUAAUAGAUGAGCCUAGGCCGGAUUAGCUAGUUGGUAGGGUAAAGGCCUACCAAGGCGAUGAUCUGUAGCUGAUCUGAGAGGAUGGCCAGCCACACUGGAACUGAGACACGGUCCAGACUCCUACGGGAGGCAGCAGUGGGGAAUAUUGGACAAUGGGGGCAACCCUGAUCCAGCCAUGCCGCGUGUGUGAAGAAGGCCUC
rnacentral:rRNA from 1 species